rnacentral:lncRNA from 1 species
GGGGUUAGAUGGAAAAUGAAAGGGGAGGCUUUCUGCUUUCCCCCGACCGCUGGAAGCUGGACUUGAAUGCCCGCAGCUGGCCGAGCUUCGUGAGUUGGCCGAGCGAGUACUUUCGUCCGAGUCUUGACAGAAUGCUUCUCUGCUGAACUUUGCCAAAUGCUACUUCCCUGGACCACUGAUGGAUACUGGCAGACAUGUUGUCUCUGGCAAAUGUGUAGUCUUAACUGGACAUUGCUUUGCUGGAGAGAAACUUGAAGCCCUUGGUCAGUACUUAUGGUGAGUAUGCUAUAAGUUUCACAAUUUACUUUACUUUCUGUUUCUCUGUCUGUCUGUCUGUCUGUCUCUCU